AGAGUUUGAUCCUGGCUCAGAACGAACGCUGGCGGCAGGCUUAACACAUGCAAGUCGAGCGAGACCUUCGGGUCUAGCGGCGGACGGGUUAGUAACGCGUGGGAACGUGCCCUUCACUACGGAAUAGUCCCGGGAAACUGGGUUUAAUACCGCAUACGCUCUUUGGAGGAAAGGCUUCGGCCGCUCUUGGAUGGUCCCGCGUUAGAUUAGCUUGUUGGUGGGGUAACGGCCUACCAAGGCGACGAUCUAUAGCUGGUCUGAGAGGAUGAUCAGCCACACUGGGACUGGAACACGGCCCAGACUCCUACGGGAGGCAGCAGUGAGGAAUCUUGCGCAAUGGGGGAAACCCUGACGCAAGCCCCGCCGCGUGGGGGUGAAGAAAGGCCCUUCGGGUCGGUUAAGCCCUGUCACGGUGGGAAGAAACCGCAUUGGGGUUCCAAUAAACCCUUUUGCCUGACGGUACCACCAAAGAGAAGCACCGGCUAACUCCGUGCCAGCAGCCGCGGUAAUACGGAGGGUGCAAGCGUUGUUCGGAAUUACUGGGCGUAAAGCGUGUGUAGGCGGCUGGGUAAGUCAAAUGUGAAAGCCCUCGGCUUAACCGAGGAAGUGCAUCUGAUACUGCCCAGCUUGAGUCCUGGAGAGGGGUGUGGAAUUCCCGGUGUAGAGGUGGAAUUCGUAGAUAUCGGGAGGACCACCACUGGCGAAGGCGCCACCCUGGACGGAGACUGACGCUGAGCCACGAAAGCGUGGGUAGCAACCAGGAUUAGAUACCCUGGUAGUC
rnacentral:rRNA from 1 species